CUGAGGCGGGGAGGCUGGGAGCUUGCUCCUGGAAGUGGAGGUUCUUAGCUCCGGCAACUUUCGGAUCCGUUCUGGGGUUGUUUUUCAAAUGCAAGUCACAACCCAUUCGUGGCUCAGCCCAUUCUCUCGUCCUCAGUAAUUCUCUGGGUGACACCUCUGUUCAUGGAAACUUCAUCCAGCCCUAGAGGAUCACCUGCUGUCACUGGCUUACAAAGACAAGGAAUCAAGCAAAAGAUGCCCCCAGACUGCAAAUAUCGUCUCUGAACACUCAGUCAUGACUGAGGUCCCUGAAAAAAGGCAGUAUUUGGGAUGAGGGUCUCUCCAAGUUGCUGAGGCUAGCCUGAACUUGUGUCCUCCUGCCUCAGCCUCCUAAGUUGCACCUACCUGAGCCUGAAGACCAUACCAGAGGAGUGAAGCAGCCCAC